UUUCUCACCUAAAAUUGAAUGUUUACUGUUCGCAAUUUCUAGUUUAAUGAUUCCAUUUCCUGCCAUUCAAUGUAGGUGUUCCUAUUCAUAGAUCCGCUGCUUUUUGCUACCAUUCUUGGAAUUUUUGUGAA
ensembl:ncRNA H14N18.8 ncRNA